rnacentral:rRNA from 1 species
GCUGGGGACUCUAAAGGAACUGCCUACGCAAGUAGUGAGGAAGCGGGGAUGACGUCAAAUCAGCACGGCCCUUACGUCCAGGGCUACACACGUGCUACAAUGGCCGAUACAGAGGGCAGCUACCUGGUGACAGGAUGCAAAUCUCCAAAGUCGGUCUCAGUUCGGAUCGGAGUCUGCAACCCGACUCCGUGAAGUUGGAUUCGCUAGUAAUCGCGCAUCAGCCAUGGCGCGGUGAAUACGUUCCCGGGCCUU